ensembl:lncRNA
CAACCUCACCAGCUAGCAUUAAGGCGCAUUGCAGACCUGAUGGAGGCGCCUAACAUUCGUAGCCAGGACAUCACUGCCUUUAAAGGAUUUGCUCUCAGAGUGAGAGCCUUGGUUGGCAUGCUCGCCCAGCUUGGAGAGAAAGGUCAUAUUGAGCUUCAGUGUGGGUCUCAUGUCACUAGGCUUAUGUCCAAGCUUCCACAAGACCUGCGGUCUGGGUUUAUGAGAUACCUACAUCCCCUCAGCAUCCGUGUCCCUACGCUGUUAGACUUCGCCCGCUGGCUGGAGUUUGAGCUACCGAUUCAGGAGUAUGGAUACGAGUCUCGACCCAGAGAGAACCCAGACAGUAAGAGGGAUAGACGGAAGGACUCAAAGUUUGGCAGGCUAACCACAGUCCUCCAUGGAGCUGAACAAUCUUCAAGUUGCCCGACUGGCCCAGUAUUCUCAUCUACCAGUGCCAAUCCACAAGGCAGAGUCGCCCUACCCUGUCCAUACUGUACCAACGCCCUGCAUUAUCUGAACCAGUGCACUAACUUCAGCCAGUUAACAACUGAGCAGCGGAGAGAUUGGGUUAAGAAAAACAGGCGGUGCUGGCGUUGUGGUCGUUGUCACCAGGCCGCACAGUGCAAACUAAAGGCCAGGUGCAAGAAUUGUGAUGGCAGACAUCUGGAAGCUCUCCACGACCUUAACAUUAGACCAGCCAUAGUGACACCAGCCACAGAGAAUACAUCAUGCUUAGUGAGUACUGCCAAUGAAGUUCUCUAUCUGGAUAGGCCGUCCGGCAGCAGUCAGGUGCUCCUGAAGGUGACAAAGGUUGUGCUACAUAAUGGAGAGCAGGCCAUGGAAACCUACGCGAUACUGGAUGAUGGGUCAGAGCGCACGAUGCUACUUCCAGCCGCCGCUAAGGAGCUUAAACUUAAAGGGGAGUCAGAGAACCUUGCUUUAAGGACAGUGCGCCAGGAUCUUAGGGUUCUACAUGGAAUGUCGGUCUCAUUCUCUAUUUCUCCUGCCAGGCACCCCCAAAAGACUUACAGGAUCCGGAGAGCCUUUACUGCCGAUCAGCUGGGCCUGGCAGAGCAUUCACAACCGGUGAAGACUCUUCAGCGCAAAUAUAAACACCUGAGAGGACUUCCCUUGCAAACACUGGAAUGUGUUCACCCCAUGGUCCUUAUUGGGUCAGACUAUGCGCACCUGAUCACCCCAGUAGAGCCGGUUCGUAUGGGUCCGCCUGGAGGACCAGCUGCUGUAAAGACCAAGUUGGGCUGGACUAUUCAGGGCCCAACCAAGAUCAUCCGACAGCAUCUUCAGCCACAGCAGUGUCUGCAUAUAUCCACACAGUCACCCUCUGCAGAGCUCCUUUAUCAUGUGGAGAAGCUAUGGAAAAUGGACGUACUGCCGUACAGGAGUGAGAAGGUAGUGAUCCGCUCAAAGCAAGAUCAGGAGGCAGUUCGCAUGCUGGAAACCAGGACAGUGAGGGUGGAAGUUGACGGAGUCCAUCGCUACGCCACCCCCCUGCUUCGUGUUAAUAACAUGCCGCGUCUCCACGCCCCCAAAGAUGCUGUACUGGCGAGUCUGCGGAGCACUGAGAGACGUCUGAUGAAAGACCCAACACGAGCAUCAGCCUAUGCAGCAGAGAUCCUGAAAUUGGAACAGGCGGGGUACGUGAAGAAGGUAGCAGAGGAAGAGCUGGGUACAUCAAUAGAGUCCUGGUUUAUACCUCACCACAUGGUGAGUCAUAAUGGAAAAAACAGACUCGUAUUCAACUGCUCCUUCGUAUACAAGGGUUACAACCUAAAUGAGCUUCUACUGCCAGGCCCCACAUUGACCUCCAGCCUGCUAGGUGUCCUGUUGAGAUUCAGGGAGCAUUUUGUUGCUAUAAGCAGCGACAUAAAAGGCAUGUUCCAUCAGAUCAGGUUGCUGCCAGAAGACAGAUCCCUGCUUCGUUUUGUCUGGAGGGACAUGAACAAAGAGGCGCCACCCGACGUCUAUGAGUGGCAGGUCCUGCCCUUCGGAACAACAUGCAGCCCCUGCUGUGCAACGUUUGCACUGCAAAAGCAUGUGACAGACCACAGCCAGCUAGAGGAGGAUGUCCGGGUGGCCGUCGAGCGUUACUUUUAUGUGGAUAACCACUUACAGAGCCUCUCCUCCUCUACAGCAGCAAGACAGCUGGUUGACAAAUUGAAGAUGUUGUUGGCCUCAGGGGGGUUUGAGCUGCGUCAGUGGGCUAGUAAUGUUCCCGAAGUUAUCAGUCACCUUCCUAAAGGGGCAAGAUCCCAGAACAGCGAGUUAUGGCUCACAGAGUCAAUGGAGGAUCCACAGGAGCUUGCACUUGGACUCAGAUGGCUUUGCGCCUCGGACACUCUGGCCUACAAGUGUAACGUCACUGACCGUCCC